rnacentral:misc_RNA from 1 species
GUGAAUCAUCAAAUCUUUGAACGCAAAUUGCACUCUCCUCGGAGAGUAUGCCUGUUUGAGGGUCAGCCUAAAAAAGAUCGACAUUGUUGCUGUUAUUUAAUGGUGACUUUCGUCGGAGAUUGGGUUAUCUUAAACCUUUUUUUUUUUUUGUUUAAGAGUUAUAAUUUUUUUUUUCGCUUUCACACUAAUGU